AGGAUCCUACUUGUCUCCCCCCUCUAAUCAGUGAAACUGAUCUCCCCGUGAAGAAGCGGGGAUAUACAUAUAAGACGAGAAGACCCCAUGGAGCUUUAAACCUGACAGCACCCGCUCAUUCUAUACCCCAUUAUUUGCCCGACCCCUGUCUGCUCAGUUUUAGGUUGGGGUGACCACGGAGUAUAAAAUAACCUCCAUGAAGAAGGGGAUAUUUCCCUUAUUAGAGAACCACACUUCCAAGAACUAAUAAAUUAAUUUUCAAUGACCCGAUACCCGAUAAUCGAUCAACGAACCAAGUUACCCUGGGGAUAACAGCGCAAUCCACCCUGAAAGCCCUUAUUAACAGGUGGGUUUACGACCUCGAUGUUGGAUCAGGGUAUCCCAGUGGUGCAGCAGCUACUGAGGGUUCGUUUGUUCAACGAUUAAAACCCU
rnacentral:rRNA from 1 species